rnacentral:rRNA from 1 species
GUCGUGAGACAGUUCGGUCCCUAUCUGCCGUGGGCGCUGGAGAAUUGAGGGGGGUUGCUCCUAGUACGAGAGAACCGGAGUGGACGCAUCACUGGUGUUCGGGUUGUCAUGCCAAUGGCACUGCCCGGUAGCUAAAUGCGGAAGAGAUAAGUGCUGAAAGCAUCUAAGCACGAAACUUGCCCCGAGAUGAGUUCUCCCUGAGACUUUAAGUCUCCUGAAGGAACGUUGAAGACGACGACGUUGAUAGGCCGGGUGUGUAAGCGCAGCGAUGCGUUGAGCUAACCGGUACUAAUGAACCGUGAGGCUUAACCUU